rnacentral:rRNA from 1 species
CUAGAGAUAGAAAGUUACUUCGGUACAUCGGUGACAGGUGGUGCAUGGUUGUCGUCAGCUCGUGUCGUGAGAUGUUGGGUUAAGUCCCGCAACGAGCGCAACCCCUAUUGUUAGUUGCCAUCAUUCAGUUGGGCACUCUAGCGAGACUGCCGGUAAUAAACCGGAGGAAGGUGGGGAUGACGUCAAAUCAUCAUGCCCCUUAUGACCUGGGCUACACACGUGCUACAAUGGUUGGUACAACGAGUUGCGAGUCGGUGACGGCGAGCUAAUCUCUUAAAGCCAAUCUCAGUUCGGAUUGUAGGCUGCAACUCGCCUACAUGAAGUCGGAAUCGCUGGUAAUCGCGGAUCAGCACGCCGCGGUGAAUACGUUCCCGGGCCUU